rnacentral:tRNA from 1 species
GCCUUGAUGGUGAAAUGGUAGACACGCGAGACUCAAAAUCUCAUGCUUAAGAGCAUGGAGGUUCAAGUCCUCUUCAAGGCA